UUCAGUUCAGUUUAGAACGAGAGUUUGAACAAGUUAGUUCGCUACUUGUCGGCAACAACGACCAGUGCGAAAAUAUACGAAUAUACACAAAAUUUAAACAGAAGCCAAGCUUUCGCAGGAAAUUAAAAAAAAGAAAUAAAUAAAUUUGAGGGAAACUAUUAUUGUUUGCAGUAAAGCAUUAAAAGUGAAAUAAAAUGAGUCUCAUCAGGACAAUAAGCGCUUGACAGCAAGGGUCUGUAAAUACUCGCAUAGUCGGUGGUUAGACGCGCGGCACAAAUAUGGUAAAAAAAGAAGUGAGGCAACGAAAUUGUUUGGAAAGGGCUACGUAAGUGCAAAUAGGCGAUAAGUGGUUAAGGAUAAAAAUCGUGCCAAAAUAGCGCCAGUAUAACUUUGAGUGAAAAUUGUUACGCCAGCCUGUGUUCAGUGUAUAAGACGCGUGUCUGUGUUCGUAAUGUUAUUAAACCGGCGCAUUUCUAUCGCUUUUUUUUACAAAAUUUAAUUAAAUGCCUAGAUGCGUCCCUUGACAGCCGUUCAUGCUUUCCGUGCCUCAGCUGACGGUUUCCGUCACUCAAUCAGCAUAUCCGUUGAGACAAUGAAAAACAGAACAAGGACCCAAAACAUACCUCUGGGUAAACAGCAAAAGCACCGUUACCAUAAAUUUCGAAAUUUUGCACAGCUGGCCCGCAUGAGAAACGCCUUCUACACGCCCUGCUCGACAACUACAACAGUCUGGAGCGACCCGUCGUCAACGAAUCCGAUCCACUGCAGCUGAGCUUCGGGCUGACGCUAAUGCAAAUCAUUGAUGUGGCAGACGAGCAAGCUGUUCGCCUGGACACCAGGGUAACGCAUCGCAUAUUGAAGAUAACCACGAGACCUCAAAAGCUCAAAUUAAAAAGCUUGCGUGUCAGCAACAUACCACAACAGCAAGUUGUUUGACAUCUUCGAACGAAAAGCGUCGGACGUAAUUUGCGUUUAGUCAUCUGGCUACUUUCGAGUUGAGGCGAUGUGUAAUUCGGUGUGAAAGAGUAAGUUUAUUUCUGGCACCUGGAUAUGAAGAAGAAGAGCAGACACAACUGCAAAGAAAUGAAAUUCAUUAAAUUAAUUAUACCAUAAACCUAUGUGUAACUUCAAGUAUUAAUAUUAAUAAAAAUGCAAUUAGUAAAAGUUUA